AACAGGAUUAGAUACCCUGGUAGUCCACGCUGUAAACGAUGUCGACUUGGAGGUUGUUCCCUUGAGGAGUGGCUUCCGGAGCUAACGCGCUAAGUCGACCGCCUGGGGAGUACGGCCGCAAGGUUAAAACUCAAAUGAAUUGACGGGGGCCCGCACAAGCGGUGGAGCAUGUGGUUUAAUUCGAUGCAACGCGAAGAACCUUACCUACUCUUGACAUCCAGAGAACUUAGCAGAGAUGCUUUGGUGCCUUCGGGAACUCUGAGACAGGUGCUGCAUGGCUGUCGUCAGCUCGUGUUGUGAAAUGUUGGGUUAAGUCCCGCAACGAGCGCAACCCUUAUCCUUUGUUGCCAGCGGUCCGGCCGGGAACUCAAAGGAGACUGCCAGUGAUAAACUGGAGGAAGGUGGGGAUGACGUCAAGUCAUCAUGGCCCUUACGAGUAGGGCUACACACGUGCUACAAUGGCAUAUACAAAGAGAAGCGACCUCGCGAGAGCAAGCGGACCUCAUAAAGUAUGUCGUAGUCCGGAUUGGAGUCUGCAACUCGACUCCAUGAAGUCGGAAUCGCUAGUAAUCGUGGAUCAGAAUGCCUCGGUGAAUACGUUCCCGGGCCCUGUACACACCGCCCGUCACACCAUGGGAGUGGGUUGCAAAAGAAGUAGGUAGCUUAACCUUCGGGAGGGCGCUUACCACUUUGUGAUUCAUGACUGGGGUGAAGUCGUAACAAGGUAACC
rnacentral:rRNA from 1 species